rnacentral:rRNA from 1 species
ACAUGCAGUCGAGGGGCAUCAGUUUGGUUUGCUUGCAAACCAAAGCUGGCGACCGGCGCACGGGUGAGUAACACGUAUCCAACCUGCCUCAUACUCGGGGAUAGCCUUUCGAAAGAAAGAUUAAUAUCCGAUAGCAUAUAUUUCCCGCAUGGGUUUUAUAUUAAAGAAAUUCGGUAUGAGAUGGGGAUGCGUUCCAUUAGUUUGUUGGCGGGGUAACGGCCCACCAAGACUACGAUGGAUAGGGGUUCUGAGAGGAAGGUCCCCCACAUUGGAACUGAGACACGGUCCAAACUCCUACGGGAGGCAGCAGUGAGGAAUAUUGGUCAAUGGACGCGAGUCUGAACCAGCCAAGUAGCGUGAAGGAUGACUGCCCUAUGGGUUGUAAACUUCUUUUAUAUGGGAAUAAAGUGGUCCACGUGUGGAUUUUUGUAUGUACCAUAUGAAUAAGGAUCGGCUAACUCCGUGCCAGCAGCCGCGGUAAUACGGAGGAUCCGAGCGUUAUCCGGAUUUAUUGGGUUUAAAGGGAGCGUAGGCGGAUUGUUAAGUCAGUUGUGAAAGUUUGCGGCUCAACCGUAAAAUUGCAGUUGAUACUGGCAGUCUUGAGUGCAGUAGAGGUGGGCGGAAUUCGUGGUGUAGCGGUGAAAUGCUUAGAUAUCACGAAGAACUCCGAUUGCGAAGGCAGCUCACUGGAGUGUAACUGACGCUGAUGCUCGAAAGUGUGGGUAUCAAACAGGAUUAGAUACCCUGGUAGUCCACACAGUAAACGAUGAAUACUCGCUGUUUGCGAUAUACAGUAAGCGGCCAAGCGAAAGCAUUAAGUAUUCCACCUGGGGAGUACGCCGGCAACGGUGAAACUCAAAGGAAUUGACGGGGGCCCGCACAAGCGGAGGAACAUGUGGUUUAAUUCGAUGAUACGCGAGGAACC